rnacentral:lncRNA from 1 species
AAAUGAGCUAAUAACACCAAAAGCUUUCCUCAUCAAGGCAAUUUCCCAAUGUGUUAUCUCAACCUACUUGUCAUUAUCGAUCCUCUCCCACAUUUCACUGUGAAUGACCAACUGUAACACAGCAUUAUUAUUAAAGAUAUGAUUAGGAAACACCUAAUUACAUACAUAUUUACAUUAAUUAUACUUGCUGUAAUCUCCUACAGUGCAAGACGAGUUGAGUCAAAC